UACGAGGGGGGCAAAUGUUGUUCGGAAUCACUGGGCGUAAAGGGAGCGUAGGCGGGUUUCUAAGUCGGGUGUUUAAUCCCGGGGCCCAACCCCGGACAGGCACUUGAAACUGGGAAUCUUGAAUAGGGGAGAGGUCAGUGGAAUUGGAGGUGUAGCGGUGGAAUGCGUAGAGAUCUCCAAGAACACCAGUUGCGAAGGCGGCUGACUGGACCCAUAUUGACGCUGAGGCUCGAAAGCAUGGGGAGCAAACAGG
rnacentral:rRNA from 1 species